rnacentral:rRNA from 1 species
UACGUAGGGUGCAAGCGUUAAUCGGAAUUACUGGGCGUAAAGCGUGCGCAGGCGGUUAUGUAAGACAGAUGUGAAAUGCCCGGGCUUAACCUGGGAACUGCAUUUGUGACUGCAUGGCUAGAGUGUGUCAGAGGGGGGUAGAAUUCCACGUGUAGCAGUGAAAUGCGUAGAAAUGUGGAGGAAUACCGAUGGCGAAGGCAGCCCCCUGGGAUAACACUGACGCUCAUGCACGAAAGCGUGGGGAGCAAACAGG